UAAGACGUAGGGCGCGAGCGUUGUCCGGAUUUAUUGGGCGUAAAGAGCUCGUAGGCGGCUUGUUGCGUCGACUGUGAAAACCCGCGGCUUAACUGCGGGCUUGCAGUUGAUACGGGCAGGCUAGAGUUCGGUAGGGGAGACUGGAAUUCCUGGUGUAGCGGUGAAAUGCGCAGAUAUCAGGAGGAACACCGGUGGCGAAGGCGGGUCUCUGGGCCGAUACUGACGCUGAGGAGCGAAAGCGUGGGGAGCGAACAGGAUUAGAUACCCUGGUAGUCCACGCUGUAAACGUUGGGCGCUAGGUGUGGGGGGCCUCUCCGGUUCUCUGUGCCGCAGCUAACGCAUUAAGCGCCCCGCCUGGGGAGUACGGCCGCAAGGCUA
rnacentral:rRNA from 1 species